GACGAACGCUGGCGGCGUGCCUAAUACAUGCAAGUAGAACGCUGAAGAGAGGAGCUUGCUCUUCUUGGAUGAGUUGCGAACGGGUGAGUAACGCGUAGGUAACCUGCCUUGUAGCGGGGGAUAACUAUUGGAAACGAUAGCUAAUACCGCAUAACAAUGGAUGACACAUGUCCUUUAUUUGAAAGGGGCAAUUGCUCCACUACAAGAUGGACCUGCGUUGUAUUAGCUAGUAGGUGAGGUAAUGGCUCACCUAGGCGACGAUACAUAGCCGACCUGAGAGGGUGAUCGGCCACACUGGGACUGAGACACGGCCCAGACUCCUACGGGAGGCAGCAGUAGGGAAUCUUCGGCAAUGGGGGCAACCCUGACCGAGCAACGCCGCGUGAGUGAAGAAGGGUGUCGGAUCGUAAAGCUCUGUUGUAAGUCAAGAACGGGUGUGAGAGUGGAAAGUUCACACUGUGACGGUAGCUUACCAGAAAGGGACGGCUAACUACGUG
rnacentral:rRNA from 1 species